GUCUGAGGGAGCACACAUAUAAUCCUUGCUGCAAGGGAAACUGAGGCUGACGGAUCACUUGAGCUCAGGAGCUCUAAGCUGAAGCAGGUUAAGCCAAUCUGUUGUCUACACUAAAUCUAGCAUCAGUAUGAUGAACUCUGAUAGCAGGGGGCCAACAGACUGCCUAUGGAGGGUGCAGACUGUCACAGCUUGGAAAUGAAGCAGGUCAGAAGUUCUCAUGCUAAAAAGCAGUGGGACUGGAACCAUGAGUGACCCCAGCACUUUUAACUUGGGAGAGAUAGGGAGACCCAGUCUCAA
rnacentral:SRP_RNA from 1 species